rnacentral:rRNA from 1 species
UACGUAGGGGACAAGCGUUGUCCGGAAUCAUUGGGCGUAAAGCGCGUGUAGGCGGCCCGGUAAGUCCGCUGUGAAAGUCCAGGGCUCAACCCUGGGAUGCCGGUGGAUACUGUCGGGCUCGAGUCCGGAAGAGGAGUGUGGAAUUCCUGGUGUAGCGGUGAAAUGCGCAGAUAUCAGGAGGAACACCAAUGGCGAAGGCAGCACUCUGGGACGUGACUGACGCUGAGACGCGAAAGCGUGGGGAGCAAACAGG